rnacentral:rRNA from 1 species
AGAGUUUGAUCCUGGCUCAGGAUGAACGCUGGCGGCGUGCUUAACACAUGCAAGUCGAACGAACCUUAGGGUUAGUGGCGGACGGGUGAGUAACGCGUGAGAAUCUGCCCUCAGGAGGGGGAUAACGGCUGGAAACGGCCGCUAAUACCCCAUAUGCCGAGAGGUGAAAUGAAUUUCGCCUGAGGAUGAGCUCGCGUCUGAUUAGCUAGUUGGUGGGGUAAGAGCCUACCAAGGCAUCGAUCAGUAGCUGGUCUGAGAGGAUGAUCAGCCACACUGGGACUGAGACACGGCCCAGACUCCUACGGGAGGCAGCAGUGGGGAAUUUUCCGCAAUGGGCGAAAGCCUGACGGAGCAACGCCGCGUGAGGGAUGAAGGCCUCUGGGCUGUAAACCUCUUUUAUCAAGGAAGAAGAUCUGACGGUACUUGAUGAAUAAGCCACGGCUAAUUCCGUGCCAGCAGCCGCGGUAAUACGGGAGUGGCAAGCGUUAUCCGGAAUUAUUGGGCGUAAAGCGUCCGCAGGCGGCCUGAUAAGUCUGUUGUCAAAGCGUGGAGCUCAACUCCAUUUCGGCAAUGGAAACUGUGAGGCUUGAGUGUGGUAGGGGCAGAGGGAAUUCCCGGUGUAGCGGUGAAAUGCGUAGAUAUCGGGAAGAACACCAGUGGCGAAGGCGCUCUGCUGGGCCAUAACUGACGCUCAUGGACGAAAGCCAGGGGAGCGAAAGGGAUUAGAUACCCCUGUAGUCCUGGCCGUAAACGAUGAACACUAGGUGUCGGGGGAAUCGACCCCCUCGGUGUCGUAGCCAACGCGUUAAGUGUUCCGCCUGGGGAGUACGCACGCAAGUGUGAAACUCAAAGGAAUUGACGGGGGCCCGCACAAGCGGUGGAGUAUGUGGUUUAAUUCGAUGCAACGCGAAGAACCUUACCAGGGUUUGACAUCCUGCGAAUCCCUUGGAAACUUGGGAGUGCCUUCGGGAGCGCAGAGACAGGUGGUGCAUGGCUGUCGUCAGCUCGUGUCGUGAGAUGUUGGGUUAAGUCCCGCAACGAGCGCAACCCACGUCUCUAGUUGCCAGCAUUGAGUUGGGCACUCUAGAGAGACCGCCGGUGAUAAACCGGAGGAAGGUGUGGAUGACGUCAAGUCAUCAUGCCCCUUACAUCCUGGGCUACACACGUACUACAAUGCUACGGACAAAGGGCAGCAAACUCGCGAGAGCUAGCAAAUCCCAUAAACCGUGGCUCAGUUCAGAUCGUAGGCUGCAACUCGCCUACGUGAAGGAGGAAUCGCUAGUAAUCGCAGGUCAGCAUACUGCGGUGAAUACGUUCCCGGGCCUUGUACACACCGCCCGUCACACCAUGGAAGUUGGCCACGCCCGAAGCCGUUACUCCAACCCUUGUGGAGGAGGACGUCGAAGGUGGGGCUGAUGACU